rnacentral:rRNA from 1 species
AGUGAACGCUGGCGGUAGGCCUAACACAUGCAAGUCGAACGGCAGCACAGUAAGAGCUUGCUCUUACGGGUGGCGAGUGGCGGACGGGUGAGGAAUACAUCGGAAUCUACUUUUUCGUGGGGGAUAACGUAGGGAAACUUACGCUACUACCGCAUACGACCUACGGGUGAAAGCAGGAGAUCUUCGGACCUUGCGCGAUUGAAUGAGCCGAUGCCGGAUUAGCUAGUUGGCGGGGUAAAGGCCCACCAAGGCGACGAUCCGUAGCUGGUCUGAGAGGAUGAUCAGCCACACUGGAACUGAGACACGGUCCAGACUCCUACGGGAGGCAGCAGUGGGGAAUAUUGGACAAUGGGCGCAAGCCUGAUCCAGCCAUACCGCGUGGGUGAAGAAGGUCUUCGGGUUGUAAAGCCCUUUUGUUGGGAAAGAAAAGCAGCAGGUUAAUACCCCGCUGUUCUGACGGUACCCAAAGAAUAAGCACCGGCUAACUUCGUG